GAUCUGGCUCAGGAUGAACGCUGGCGGCGUGCUUAACACAUGCAAGUCGAACGAAGCACUUCAUAAAGUUUACUUUAAGAAGUGACUUAGUGGCGGACGGGUGAGUAACGCGUGGGUAACCUGCCUUACACAGGGGGAUAACAGUUAGAAAUGACUGCUAAUACCGCAUAAAACAGCAGAGUCGCAUGACUCAACUGUCAAAGAUUUAUCGGUGUAAGAUGGACCCGCGUCUGAUUAG
rnacentral:rRNA from 1 species